CCUACGGGAGGCAGCAGUGAGGAAUAUUGGUCAAUGGGCGUAAGCCUGAACCAGCCAAGUCGCGUGAAGGAUGAAGGUUCUAUGGAUUGUAAACUUCUUUUAUAAGGGAAUAAAGUGAGGGACGUGUCCCUUUUUGUAUGUACUUUAUGAAUAAGGAUCGGCUAACUCCGUGCCAGCAGCCGCGGUAAUACGGAGGAUCCGAGCGUUAUCCGGAUUUAUUGGGUUUAAAGGGUGCGUAGGCGGCCUUUUAAGUCAGCGGUGAAAGUCUGUGGCUCAACCCUAGAAGUGCCUUUGAAACUGGCGGGCUUGAGUAUGGUUGAGGUAGGCGGAAUGCGUGGUGUAGCGGUGAAAUGCUUAGAUAUCACGCAGAACCCCGAUUGCGAAGGCAGCUUACCAAGCCAUGACUGACGCUGAUGCACGAAAGCGUGGGUAUCAAACAGGAUUAGAUACCCGAGUAGUC
rnacentral:rRNA from 1 species